rnacentral:rRNA from 1 species
UACGUAGGGAGCAAGCGUUGUUCGGAUUUACUGGGCGUAAAGGGCGCGCAGGCGGCAAAUUAAGUCAGCUGUGAAAUCUCCGAGCUUAACUCGGAACUGUCAGCUGAUACUGAUCUGCUAGAGUGCGGAAGGGGCAAUCGGAAUUCUUGGUGUAGCGGUGAAAUGCGUAGAUAUCGGGAGGAACACCUGUGGCGAAAGCGGCGCACUGGACCACAACUGACGCUGAGGCGCGAAAGCUAGGGGAGCAAACAGG